GUCCACACCGUAACGUUGGGCGCUAGGUGUGGGAUCCAUUCCACGGGUUCCGUGCCGCAGCUAACGCAUUAAGCGCCCGCCUGGGGAGUACGGCCGCAAGGCUAAACUCAAGGAAUUGACGGGGCCCGCACAAGCGGCGGAGCAUGCGGAUUAAUUCGAUGCAACGCGAAGACCUUACCUGGGUUUGACAUACGCCGGAAAGCAUCAGAGAUGGUGCCCCUUUUGUCGGUGUACAGGUGGUGCAUGGCUGUCGU
rnacentral:rRNA from 1 species